GGUUCAAUGGCGUAGUGGUUAUCGCAUCUGUCUUACACACAGAAGGUCUCCGGUUCGAUCCCGGGUUGAGCCA
rnacentral:tRNA from 1 species